rnacentral:rRNA from 1 species
CUCACUGGUCGAGUCGGCCUGCGCGGAAGAUGUAACGGGGCUAAACCAUGCACCGAAGCUGCGGCAGCGACACUCAGGUGUUGUUGGGUAGGGGAGCGUUCUGUAAGCCUGCGAAGGUGGCCUGUGAGGGUUGCUGGAGGUAUCAGAAGUGCGAAUGCUGACAUAAGUAACGAUAAAGCGGGUGAAAAGCCCGCUCGCCGGAAGACCAAGGGUUCCUGUCCAACGUUAAUCGGGGCAGGGUGAGUCGACCCCUAAGGCGAGGCCGAAAGGCGUAGUCGAUGGGAAACGGGUUAAUAUUCCCGUACUUGGUGUUACUGCGAAGGGGGGACGGAGAAGGCUAUGUUGGCCGGGCGACGGUUGUCCCGGUUUAAGCGUGUAGGUGUGUGUUCCAGGUAAAUCCGGUUCACUUUAACACUGAGGCGUGAUGACGAGGCACUACGGUGCUGAAGCAACAAAUGCCCUGCUUCCAGGAAAAGCCUCUAAGCAUCAGGUAACAUCAAAUCGUACCCCAAACCGACACAGGUGGUCAGGUAGAGAAUACCAAGGCGCUUGAGAGAACUCGGGUGAAGGAACUAGGCAAAAUGGUGCCGUAACUUCGGGAGAAGGCACGCUGACACGUAGGUGAAGUGAUUUACUCAUGGAGCUGAAGUCAGUCGAAGAUACCAGCUGGCUGCAACUGUUUAUUAAAAACACAGCACUGUGCAAACACGAAAGUGGACGUAUACGGUGUGACGCCUGCCCGGUGCCGGAAGGUUAAUUGAUGGGGUCAGCGCAAGCGAAGCUCCUGAUCGAAGCCCCGGUAAACGGCGGCCGUAACUAUAACGGUCCUAAGGUAGCGAAAUUCCUUGUCGGGUAAGUUCCGACCUGCACGAAUGGCGUAAUGAUGGCCAGGCUGUCUCCACCCGAGACUCAGUGAAAUUGAACUCGCUGUGAAGAUGCAGUGUACCCGCGGCAAGACGGAAAGACCCCGUGAACCUUUACUAUAGCUUGACACUGAACAUUGAGCCUUGAUGUGUAGGAUAGGUGGGAGGCUUUGAAGUGUGGACGCCAGUCUGCAUGGAGCCGGCCUUGAAAUACCACCCUUUAAUGUUUGAUGUUCUAACGUGGACCCGUGAUCCGGGUUGCGGACAGUGUCUGGUGGGUAGUUUGACUGGGGCGGUCUCCUCCUAAAGAGUAACGGAGGAGCACGAAGGUUGGCUAAUCCUGGUCGGACAUCAGGAGGUUAGUGCAAUGGCAUAAGCCAGCUUGACUGCGAGCGUGACGGCGCGAGCAGGUGCGAAAGCAGGUCAUAGUGAUCCGGUGGUUCUGAAUGGAAGGGCCAUCGCUCAACGGAUAAAAGGUACUCCGGGGAUAACAGGCUGAUACCGCCCAAGAGUUCAUAUCGACGGCGGUGUUUGGCACCUCGAUGUCGGCUCAUCACAUCCUGGGGCUGAAGUAGGUCCCAAGGGUAUGGCUGUUCGCCAUUUAAAGUGGUACGCGAGCUGGGUUUAGAACGUCGUGAGACAGUUCGGUCCCUAUCUGCCGUGGGCGCUGGAGAACUGAGGGGGGCUGCUCCUAGUACGAGAGGACCGGAGUGGACGCAUCACUGGUGUUCGGGUUGUCAUGCCAAUGGCACUGCCCGGUAGCUAAAUGCGGAAGAGAUAAGUGCUGAAAGCAUCUAAGCACGAAACUUGCCCCGAGAUGAGUUCUCCCUGAGACUUUAGGUCUCCUGAAGGAACGUUGAAGACGACGACGUUGAUAGGCCGGGUGUGUAAGCGCAGCGAUGCGUUGAGCUAACCGGUACUAAUGAACCGUGAGGCUUAACCUUACA